rnacentral:rRNA from 1 species
UACGUAGGGGGCAAGCGUUGUCCGGAAUCAUUGGGCGUAAAGCGCGUGUAGGCGGCCAGGUAAGUCCGUUCUGAAAGCCCGGGGCUCAACCCCGGGAGGCGGAUGGAUACUGCUUGGCUCGAGUCCGGAAGAGGCGAGUGGAAUUCCCGGUGUAGCGGUGAAAUGCGUAGAUAUCGGAAGGAACGCCGGUGGCGAAAGCGACGCACUGGAUCUCUUCUGACGCUGAGGCGCGAAAGCCAGGGGAGCAAACGGA